UUUUAUACUCUUAUAAUUUUUUAUAAGUUAGAAAUUAAUUCCUAAAAUUUGAUAAAUAAUUUAUUAUUUAUAUCAAUUUUUGUAAAUGGUUUGUAUUCAUUACUUUAUAUAGUUUAUAAUAAAUAAAAAUAAUUAAUCUAACAUUAUUACUCUUUCUAUAAUUUUGACAAUUACUACCAUAAAUCAUUAAUUAUGUAGACUGACCUUUUAUUUUAGAUCAAAUUAUAAUUACUUAAAAUUAAAAUCAUAGACCAUUCAAAUUAUAACAAUUUUCUUACAAUUAUAAAUAGAUUUGUGUCUCUCUAUAGCCAAUCUUGGAUUAUAAUUUGACCAAAAAUCUCUUCUUUUUUUUUGAUAAAGACCAAAAAUCUCUUAUAUUUGAUAUAAAAGGAAAUGUUAUAUUUUCUUAUAUAUAUUUGACCAAGAAGAUAUUUACUUGUAAUGUGCAUGUGUCACUAUAUAUAUAAUCAGAAAAAGUAAAGAAAAACGCACCAAACAAAACGCUAAAGUGAAUAUUUUACAACAAAGUUUUAAAUUUACUUAUAAAAUGGUCAUCACUAUGAAAACUUUAGUUCUGUUUGUUUUCACUACUAUUUUCAUCAUAUCUUUUGUUGAUUGUCAUACUACAACUAUGGCUACUACCCCUGCUAGUACUCCUGGUUAUGGAAUAAAUUGGGCGACAGUACUGUGCUUCAAGAUCUCAACGCCGUGUGAUUUAGCAGGGCGAUAUGGAUGCGCAAAGUUUUGUGACCAGUGGGAUUAUUUUUAUGACAGGUGUGAACCGGGUAAAUGUUGUUGUCACAGAUAAGUAGUAUGCGUUCAGAAUAAAAUAAUCUUAUAAAAGUAUUGGCAUUUGUUUGAAAGUAACAUCAACAACUUUCAUGCUUUAUUAUCAAUAUAUGAUCAAGAAAUGAAAUGAAUCAAAAUUAUUAGAUUGAAAUAGUUUGAUUCAAUCCAUUUAAUAAUAUUUAAAAAAAAAAGAUUUAUGAGAAAAAUAAAAUUA